GAUGAAGAACGCAGCGAAAUGCGAUAGGUAAUGUGAAUUGCAGAAUUCAGUGAAUCAUCGAAUCUUUGAACGCACAUUGCGCCCUUUGGUAUUCCUUAGGGCAUGCCUGUUCGAGCGUCACUACACACCUUAUCACAAUAUUUGUGGUCUUGGCAGGAGUGAAUUGCUGGUCUAUGGAAGUAUUCCAGCAGUACACAAUGCUAAAAAAUAUGGGAAGGUUACCAGAUAUGAACAACAGACUUUGUAAAUGGUUGUAGGACCUAGAUCAGUCACAAGUCACGUCUGGUCCCUUACCUUAAGGACCCCCAUCCUAGAUGAACUAUGGGUUGACCUCGGAUCAGGUAGGAAUACCCGCUGAACUUAAGCAUAUCAAUAAGCGGAGGA
rnacentral:misc_RNA from 1 species